GGAGGAAGAGGACGACGACAACAACAACAACAAUGACGACAAAGGUCCUCUGAAUUCUCUCCAAGGACCCAUGUUUGAGAAUUCCUGGCCAAAGGCAUUUGGAAUAUGAAGAUAUUUGCAUUUCCUGAAGGGCCGGCGCACUCUAAAAGAGUUUACCAGGAUCUGGAGGAUUCGCAAGUGACCAAACCAGGCAGACAGGAGAAGCGCGUUCAUCCCAAACUGGGGGAAAGGACAGAGAGCCCACAGCUCUCCCUGUCCUCAUAAGGGACUGAGAAAGGCUCUUAGAACUGAAAGGCCCUUGACAAUGGAGAGCUCUUUAUCACUGUGCAAGGGAAAAAUAGAUCGAUGUGGUUUCACUAAGCCCUGAAGCUGGCUCCCCACCGAGCACCUGCGUAUCAGUGACAAUCUGAGCAACUACAACUGGCUUACAGAGACCCAGAGAGAUCCUGGGAUCUCUGCCCUAGCUUGAGACAGACAAGACACACAGACACGCCUCCGAGAGGGACCCCUACCGCGUCCUCAUCAUCCACAGCAGCCUUGUGUUCCAGGAGCAGCUGCACAGCCUGCUCAUGACCUGCACCCGCAGCCCAGUGCAGGGCCACCCUGCCCACCUGCAGGAGGGAGAGGAAACUUAUCACUGUCCCCUCCAUACCUGCCCCACCAGGAAAACUGGUCUGCAGGCUGAAAGGGCCUUUUGCUGGCUCUGGUGACCAUCUGGCUGAGGACCCAGCCCCACUUUAGCCCCACUGUCCCUGACAGCAGAAGGCAAAAUAAACACAGUAAGACACAA